rnacentral:rRNA from 2 species
GAGUUUGAUCAUGGCUCAGAUUGAACGCUGGCGGCAUGCCUUACACAUGCAAGUCGAACGGUAACGCGGGGCAACCUGGCGACGAGUGGCGAACGGGUGAGUAACGCAUCGGAACGUGCCUGGUAGUGGGGGAUAACUGCUCGAAAGAGCAGCUAAUACCGCAUACGACCUGAGGGUGAAAGGGGGGGAUCGCAAGACCUCUCGCUAUCAGAGCGGCCGAUGUCGGAUUAGCUAGUUGGUGGGGUAAAGGCCCACCAAGGCAACGAUCCGUAGCUGGUCUGAGAGGACGACCAGCCACACUGGGACUGAGACACGGCCCAGACUCCUACGGGAGGCAGCAGUGGGGAAUUUUGGACAAUGGACGCAAGUCUGAUCCAGCCAUGCCGCGUGCGGGAAGAAGGCCUCGGUGUAA